rnacentral:rRNA from 1 species
AUUGAACGCUGGCGGCAUGCCUUACACAUGCAAGUCGAACGGUAACAGGUCUUCGGAUGCUGACGAGUGGCGAACGGGUGAGUAAUACAUCGGAACGUGCCCAGACGUGGGGGAUAACGAGGCGAAAGCUUUGCUAAUACCGCAUACGAUCUAAGGAUGAAAGCAGGGGACCGCAAGGCCUUGCGCGUUUGGAGCGGCCGAUGGCAGAUUAGGUAGUUGGUGGGAUAAAAGCUUACCAAGCCGACGAUCUGUAGCUGGUCUGAGAGGACGACCAGCCAGACUGGGGCUGAGACACGGCCCAGACUCCUACGGGAGGCAGCAGUGGGGAAUUUUGGACAAUGGGCGAAAGCCUGAUCCAGCAAUGCCGCGUGCAGGAUGAAGGCCUUCGGGUUGUAAACUGCUUUUGUACGGAACGAAAAGGCUCUGGCUAAUACCUGGGGCACAUGACGGUACCGUAAGAAUAAGCACCGGCUAACUACGUGCCAGCCGCCGCCGUAAAAC